GAGAAGAGAAAAAGAAGAGAGCCAGCGGGUGAGAAGCGAAGUUGGUGGCGAAACAAAUGUCAUGGCUGUCUUUCUUCUUUUUCUUCAUUCUC
rnacentral:miRNA from 1 species